rnacentral:tRNA from 1 species
GCGUUCGUAGCUCAGAUGGAUAGAGCGACGGACUUCGAAUCCGUAGGCCGCAGGUUCGAGUCCUGUCGGACGCA